AAUGAGGUGCCUGAGUAAAGGGUUACCUUGAUAGGGUAGAUUAAGUGGGAUGGCCCCACUCUCAUU
rnacentral:tRNA from 1 species